UAUUCUACCGUUCAAUUAUCUGUAAACGUGACUUGUUAUUUCCAGUUACUGCCCUCCAUGCCCGAACGUGAAUGUUGAUCUACGUCUACAUGAUUGAAAUUUCAAUGAGAAUCACGUACACUGUUCUUGGCUACUCGUUUCCGUGUAAAUCGAGCCACCGUUCUUUUUAUGUUUCUUGAACGUUCUUCGAAAAAAUUAUCUGUAAUUACUCAGAAAAAAUAGACGUGGAGCACGUAUUUCUUGAUGACACAUCGAUUGCUACUGUCAUCGAAUAUAUUUGAAUAAUGAAAAACUUUUUCUUGUAAAAUGCUUGUAUCACAUUUUUCGAAGAAUAUUCAAUCAAUUAGAAUAUUUCUACUACCUCUUUAA